UUUAAAACUUAAUUUUUAUUUCUUUGCUAAUCUCUUUUUUGAUACAUCAGAUUGCUAACCAAAGAAGAAGAAACAAUUACAUUUUUUGAUGGCUUUUAUAGCUGAUUUCUGCUACUGCUUGUGCUUGUUUUUUCUUUGUUCCUUCUUUGUAGGUGACGGCGCAAGUGGCAUAAGAGCGGUGACGGUGACUAACGUGCGGCGGUGGCAGUGGCUAGGGGUAGGGUGCGGCACCAGAAGACCAAGAGUCAAAGCAUGCGGCGCUAGAGGCGGCGCCUAGGGUUUCAGACUGAAAACCCUAGCAGAUAUUUUUUAGAGAAAUUGGGCCUGGGCUAAUGGGCCCCGGGUUUGGGUUAGGUGUUGUAUUGGGUUUGGUUAGGCAGAAUAUUGGGUUGAAGGUUACUGGGUUAGGUCUAGGUGGGUUGGUAUUUGGGUUGUUUUGUAAUGGGCUUUCGGGUUUGUUUGGGUUAAGGUUUUGUUGGGCCUGGUUUGAUUUUGUGAGACCCGGGCUAAACUUGGGCUGUACAACCUUGAAUGGUGAAAUGAGAAUGUUGAUUUCUCUUGAAAAUGGUCUUAGGCAGGGAAAUCAGCUUAGUCCUUAUUUGUUUCUAAUUUGUAAUAAGGAUUGUCUUCCUUUAUACGUAUGACACUUAGAGAGAAUAUGGUGAAAGGGGCUAAGAUUUGUCGGAGGCUCCAAAAGUAUCCCAUUUAUUGUUUAUUGAUGAUUAUGUCCCGUUUGGGGAAGCAACUGUGACUGGUGCAAUGUGUCUGUAAUAGCCCGAUUUUUCAGUGAUAUUGAAAAUAGUAGUUCGAGGCCAGCAAAUUCAGCGAGUAAGCUUGUAAAUGUUUACGAAUCAAAUAUGGUUUUAAAAAAGUUUUUGAAUUGGUAAUUUGUGUUUUAUAAUGAUUUAUUAUGUCAAAUGGUUUUAAAAAGUGAGAUAUCAGGACCUUAUUUUUAUAAAUCGAGCCGUAAAUAUUUUUAUAAAUAUUUAUGGAGUGUUACUAAUGUAGUAUUAAAGUUUCGUUGAAAAAUUUUAACGUUUCGAUAGUUAAUUAAUUAAAAAAGACUAAAUUGAAAAUUUUACAAAACUUACUAAUUAUAAUAAUUAAGUAAUCAAAUGGCUUGAUUAAUAAAAGAGGAAUGACUUAAGUAAUAAAUAAACCUAAAUUAAUAGAUGAGGCGGCAUAUGAUGAGAAAAUAAUAAAAUAAAAUGAUUCAAUGGCAAAAUGGUAAUUUUGAUGAAAUUAAAAAUAAAACAAAUUGAAUUUAAAGGUUUCCUAAACAUUUCUUCUUCAAUUUUCAGCCAAAACAGCCAUAUGAGAGAGAGCUUAAGCUGGUUUUUUAUAUUUUUACUUCAUGUGAGUUUAAUU
rnacentral:lncRNA from 1 species